CGCGUGGUUCUAUUUUGUUGGUUUUUAGAACCGCCGUAAUGAUUAAUAGGGACAGUCGGGGGCAUCUGUAUUCAAUUGUCAGAGGUGAAAUUCUUGGAUCUAUUGAAGACAAACUACUGCGAAAGCAUUUGCCAAGGAUGUUUUCAUUGAUAAGGAACGAAAGUUAGGGGAUCGAAGACGAUCAGAUACCGUCGUAGUCUUAACUAUAAACUAUGCCGACUAGGGAUCGGACGAUGUUAUUUUUUGACUCGUUCGGCACCUUUCGAGAAAUCAAAGUGCUUGGGCUCCAGGGGGAGUAUGGUCGCAAGGCUGAAACUUAAAGAAAUUGACGGAAGGGCACCACCAGGGGUGGAACCUGCGGCUUAAUUUGACUCAACACGGGGAAACUCACCAGGUCCAGACGCAGUGAGGAUUGACAGAUUGAUAGCUCUUUCUUGAUUCUGUGGGUGGUGGUGCAUGGCCGUUCUUAGUUGGUGGAGUGAUUUGUCUGCUUAAUUGCGAUAACGAACGAGACCUUAACCUGCUAAAUAGCCCGUAUUGCUUCGGCAGUACGCUGGCUUCUUAGAGGGACUAUCGGCUCAAGCCGAUGGAAGUUUGAGGCAAUAACAGGUCUGUGAUGCCCUUAGAUGUCCUGGGCCGCACGCGCGUUACACUGACAAAGCCAGCGAGUAUUUCCUUAGCCGGAAGGCUUGGGUAAUCUUGUUAAACUUUGUCGUGC
rnacentral:rRNA from 1 species